GAAGAACGCGUGGCGGCACGCCUCAUACAUGCAAGUCGAGCGCGAAACCACCUCGGGUGAUGUAGAGCGGCGAACGGGUGAGUAACAGGUGGGUAAUCUGCCCGUUUGGCGGGGGACAACAGCGUGGAAACGGCUGCUAAUACCGCAUGUGAUUGUGGACUUAUGGUCUGCAAGGAAAGGCGCCUCAAAGCGCCACCAAAGGAUGAGCCCGCCCCCCCACUUAGCUAGUUGGUGAGAUAACAGCUCACCAAGGCAUCGAUGGGUAGCCGAGCUGAGAGGUUGAUCGGCCACACUGGAACUGAGACACGGUCCAGACACCUACGGGUGGCAGCAGUAGGGAAUAUUGCGCAAUGGGCGAAAGCCUGACGCAGCGAUGCCGCGUGAGUGACGAAGGUCUUAGGAUUGUAAAGCUCUUUUCUGAGGGAAGAAUAGGUCUGGUAGGAAAUGACUGGAUUCUGACGGUACCUCAGGAAUAAGGAACGGCUAACUCCGUG
rnacentral:rRNA from 1 species